rnacentral:lncRNA from 1 species
AGAAUUUUGCUCCUUGUGGGGCAUCUCUCUGGUCCAUGGCAUCCCAUAUAAUUCUACUGGGCAAGCUAUAGUGGAACGUUGUAAUCGUUCUGUAAAAAUAAUGUUAGAAAAACAAAAACAGAAGGGCGGAAUCCCUGUGGAUCUCCCUGGGAAAACCAACAUGUUAAUGAAAGUUCUUUUCACUUUAAAUCAUCUGAAUUCCGUAGAUACGGCUUCUCCGGUUCAGCGUCAUUUCAUGCCUUUUGAGGAGCUUCCUAAACCAAAAGUUUUAUUUCGGCAAAAACCAGAUCCGCAAUGGAUAGGCCCUGUACCUUUACUAACUUGGGGAAGGGGAUAUGCAUCUGUUUUAUCUCCUACAGGACCUGUGUGGGUCCCAGCUCAUGACAUGCGACCUUGGAAGGGAAAAGAUGUCGUGGCACCAGACCACCACUCUGCCUCUGAGUGCGGAGAUCCAGAACUUGUCUCUCGAAGACGCCCCACAAACGAUGAUGGCCCGACGCAGGGGGCCGCACAAUACACAAAGAGGUCGCAGCAAUCCACCGGUGACUUGGGGACAGAUUAAAGGCCUCUCGUUACAAGCUCAACAGACAUUGGCUCAGCAGAAUGUUCCUCUGACACCAGAAAAUUAUACUGUUGCUAUAAUCUCCUAUUUAAAUGCUAACUCUGUGAUGCUUUGUUGUUUAUUUUUCUGUUUUCUUCCGUUGUCAACCCCUUUGGACCUCUCUCCUGCACUAUCCAAUUUAUGGUUUAGGCAUGCUCAUUCUAUGUUUCAGUCCUAUGGUUCUAAUGUCACCUUAUACUAUGAGCACCCUUUAACUGUCGCUCAACUUUCAUUUUUGCCCUCACUGAUGGACAUCCCAGAAUUUGUUGUCUCUCAGUUACAGCAUGUGCAAAAUUCUACGGUAUUUUCUUAUCCGCCCCACGAGCUAAAUGCAACGUCUUGGCGAAUGUUUANGUUUCNCACUUACACUAAGGGCAUGUGUUUCUGCUGCUAUAGCAGGGGCACAUGGACUAAUAAAUGGAAAGAUUAUACCAGGGCACGCAGANGGCUUGCACNCCU